GUCCUCACUCAGCAACCUGCAUAGCAAUAGAAGGCAGCACUCAGCUGGGAAGAUACCCCAUUUUCCCCAGAUUCUUCUAACUGGCCUUCACUCAUCCCAGUGUGCUCAGAUGAACAUUUGGACCUGCUAAGCAAUGUCAUUUACUACUGUCCUGUGCACAGGUUACUUGAUCUCUCUAGCCUUCAAUUUCUUCUGUUCAGCAGACAGACUGGAUCCGGAAUUGACUACGAGGCACUCCAGAAAAUAAUUCUUGGUCAGAUUAUUUAAAGUAGGGAAACCUAGCCUAAGUAUGAUGCCCAGAUAAAGGGGAUAGAAGAAGAAAGCAUUUUUCUUUUUGCCUGCUUGCCUUCACUCUUGCUGGCAAGUUCACCUACAUUGUUGUUGACACAUUCCUUCACUGAUAUUAGGACUCAGCUUUGGACUUUCACCAUGGACUGAAGGCCAGUGUUUCUCCAGGAUCUUCUGGGUCUUCAGUGCCAGAUUGGAACUUCUGAGGAAUCCAGCUAGUGGGAUGAGCAACUACCAGGUUGUUCUCUGGUGUGAGACAACCAUUGUUGGACUGCACAGACCAUAUCAGGCACAUGGACAUUCACAUGGUGUGAGGGAGUCUUGGCCAGGAGGAACCCAAGGAUUUCCAGACUAUUUACAAAAUAAACAAGCUGGCCACAAGGUGAAUGACCCAGAAAGUAACAACUACUGCCAACCCGAGUGGACAAUGACCACCAGGACCGGCUUCUUCCAUCUACUCUCUGGGGGGUGCUGAAAUAUGUUUCCUGAGUGAUAUCACAAGUGAAAAUUAAAUCAUUGCUUCAUGUUACAAAAAGUAAACACCCAGGUGGGAAAGGAUGCUGAAGGAUGCUGAGCCUCUGGGAGAGGGAGAGGUUCUUGGUACUCCAGGCAGGACUCAGAGCUCUGCUCACCUUUACCAGUUCACUCUCAAUGGAUGGUGCUUCAGGAAGCCAAGGCAAUCUGGGUGAUUCCAGCUGAGCCUCCCCCGCC
rnacentral:lncRNA from 1 species